rnacentral:rRNA from 1 species
AUUGAACGCUGGCGGCAUGCCUUACACAUGCAAGUCGAACGGUAACAGGUUAAGCUGACGAGUGGCGAACGGGUGAGUAAUACAUCGGAACGUGCCCAGUAGUGGGGGAUAGCCCGGCGAAAGCCGGAUUAAUACCGCAUACGACCUAAGGGUGAAAGGGGGGGAUCGCAAGACCUCUCGCUAUUGGAGCGGCCGAUGUCAGAUUAGGUAGUUGGUGGGGUAAAGGCCCACCAAGCCGACGAUCUGUAGCUGGUCUGAGAGGACGACCAGCCACACUGGGACUGAGACACGGCCCAGACUCCUACGGGAGGCAGCAGUGGGGAAUUUUGGACAAUGGGCGCAAGCCUGAUCCAGCCAUGCCGCGUGCGGGAAGAAGGCCUUCGGGUUGUAAACCGCUUUUGUCAGGGAAGAAAUCCUUUGGGUUAAUACCUCGGGGGGAUGACGGUACCUGAAGAAUAAGCACCGGCUAACUACGUGCCAGCAGCCGCCGUAACAC